rnacentral:lncRNA from 10 species
CAAUAUGGCGGCACCCAGUGGCGGUGUGAACUGGGAGGAGUUUGCCCAGUUCCAGGAAUUACUCAAAGUGAUAAGGACAAGUGAUGACAGAAAAUAGUAUAUAAAUUAAACACUAAGGUUCUAACAGCUUCCUUUGUAGGGAAAAUUGAUGCCAGCCAAACCUGUAAACAAAUUUAUGGGUCUUUGAUGGCAGCUCUUGCCAGUAGGAACAGAGUAAAAAAAUUGUAUAGCCCAGACCUCAGAAGUAGUAAAAAACCUCCAAGAAGAGAGAGAAAAUAAUUUGGACAACUUAAUGUUAUUAAAGCAACUUAGAAAAGAACAGACAAAGUUGAAAUGGAUGCAGUCAGAACUGAAUGUUGAAGAAAUAGUAAAAGACAAAGGCUGGAAGGUGUUUAAUAAACGGUGUCAAAUUCACUUCAAGCCUCCAAAGAA